AGCAGCCGCGGUAAUUCCAGCUCCAAUAGCGUAUAUUAAAGUUGUUGCAGUUAAAAAGCUCGUAGUUGAAUUUCGGGAUCAGCAGGUCGGUCGUGCCACUGGUAUGCACUGGCCUUGCUGAUUCCUCCCUCUUGAUGAGCCGUAAUGCCAUUAAUUUGGUGUUGCGGGGAAUCAGGACUGUUACUUUGAAAAAAUUUAGAGUGUUUAAAGCAGGCAUGCGCUUGAAUACAUUAGCAUGGAAUAAUGAAAUAGGACGUUCGAUCCUAUUUUGUUGGUUUCUAGGAUUGACGUAAUGAUUAAUAGGGAUAGUUGGGGGCAUUAGUAUUCAAUUGUCAGAGGUGAAAUUCUUGGAUUUAUUGAAGACUAACUACUGCGAAAGCAUUUGCCAAGGAUGUUUUCAUUAAUCAAGAACGAAAUGUUAGGGGAUCGAAGACGAUCAGAUACCGUCGUAGUCUUAACCAUAAACUAUGCCGACUAGGGAUCGGAUGAUGUUAAUUUUUUCAAUGACUCAUUCGGCGCC
rnacentral:rRNA from 1 species